UACGUAGGGGGCGAGCGUUGUCCGGAUUUAUUGGGCGUAAAAGGCUUGUAGGUGGCCACGUCAGGUCGGAUGUGAAAUCUCCCGGCUCAACUGGGAGGGGUCAUUCGAUACUGGCGGGCUCGAGGCCGGUAGGGGGAAGCGGAAUUCCCGGUGUAGUGGUGGAAUGCGUAGAUAUCGGGAGGAACACCAGUGGCGAAGGCGGCUUCCUGGACCGGUUCUGACACUGAGGAGCGAAAGCGUGGGGAGCGAUCCGG
rnacentral:rRNA from 1 species